GAGUCCGGAUCCUCUGCCUCCGGGAGGCAGAGAGUCUCUGCCUCCCGCAAUCUCAUUGGUCCACCUCACCGCUCCUGCCACAUGGAUCUCAUCAAAGCGGAAGAAAAAGAGGGGUUUUUCCUUUUGACGAUCGGAGGCCCUCUUUCCCCAAUCUCUCACAAUUCCUUUCGCCCAUUUUCCACCGAGCAGCCGAUAGUCGAUUUCUACUAUUUCGUCUAUUCAUCCAUCGAAGAUCCACCCCACCUCACAGGCUUGUCGGUUGAUAACAAUUCGCAAGGAGUAUAACAGCUAUAUGGAGCUCUUUCUGCUCAAAUGUGGUUGGGGAUGAUCUUCU